rnacentral:rRNA from 1 species
ACUGCUCAGUAACACGUGGGCAACUGCCCUAAGGAGAGGGAUAACACCAGGAAACUGGUGCUAAUACCGCAUAACUCAGCUCCAGCACAUGCUGGAGCUGACAAAGAUUUAUCGCCUUAGGAUGGGCCCGCGUCCCAUUAGCCAGUUGGUGAGGUAACGGCCCACCAAAGCUACGAUGGGUAGCCGACCUGAGAGGGUGAUCGGCCACAUUGGAACUGAGACACGGUCCAGACUCCUACGGGAGGCAGCAGUGGGGAAUAUUGCACAAUGGGGGAAACCCUGAUGCAGCAACGCCGCGUGAGCGAUGAAGGCCUUCGGGUUGUAAAGCUCUGUCUUCGCUGACGAUAAUGACGGUAAGCGAGGAGGAAGCCACGGCUAACUACGUGCCAGCAGCCGCGGUAAUACGUAGGUGGCAAGCGUUGUCCGGAAUUACUGGGCGUAAAGGAUGCGUAGGCGGCUUCUUAAGUGGGAUGUGAAAUGCCGGGGCUUAACCCCGGAUGUGCAUUCCAUACUGGGAGGCUAGAGUGCAGGAGAGGAAAGCGGAAUUCCCAGUGUAGCGGUGAAAUGCGUAGAGAUUGGGAGGAACACCAGUGGCGAAGGCGGCUUUCUGGACUGUAACUGACGCUGAGGCAUGAAAGUGUGGGGAGCAAACAGGAUUAGAUACCCUGGUAGUCCACACCGUAAACGAUGGGCACUAGGUGUAGGGGGCGUAGCCCUCUGUGCCGCAGUUAACACAUUAAGUGCCCCGCCUGGGGAGUACGAUCGCAAGAUUAAAACUCAAAGGAAUUGGCGGGGGAGCAC